GACGAACGCUGGCGGCGUGCUUAACACAUGCAAGUCGAACGGAAAGGCCCUGCUUUUGUGGGGUGCUCGAGUGGCGAACGGGUGAGUAACACGUGAGUAACCUGCCCUUGACUUUGGGAUAACUUCAGGGGACUGGGGCUAAUACCGGGUAGGAGCUCCUGCUGCAUGGUGGGGGUUGGAAAGUUUCGGCGUUUGGGGAUGGUUUCGCGGCUUAUCAGCUGGUUGGGGGGGUAGGGGCUUACCAAGGGUUUGACGGGUAGGCGGCCUGGGAGGGUGGCCGGCCACAUUGGGACUGCGGUACGGCGCAGAAUCCUACGGGAGGCAGCAGUGGGGAAUAUUGCACAAUGGGCGGAAGCCUGAUGCAGAAACGCCGCGUGCGGGAUGACGGCCUUCGGGUUGUAAACCGCUUUCGAAUGUGACGAAGCGUGAGUGACGGUAAUGGGUAAAGAAGCCCCGGCUAACUACGUG
rnacentral:rRNA from 1 species